rnacentral:rRNA from 1 species
CCUACGGAUGGCAGCAGUGGGGAAUAUUGCACAAUGGGGGAAACCCUGAUGCCGCGACGCCGCGUGAGUGACGCAGUAUUUCGGUAUGUAAAGCUCUAUCCGCAGGUAAUACAAUUACGGUACCUGAUUAAUACUCCCCGGCUAACUACGUUCCAGCAGCCGCGGUCAUACGUAGGGGGCAAGCGUUAUCCGUAUUUACUGGGUGUAAAGGGAGCGUAGACGGAAGCACAAGUCUGGAGUGAAAUGCCGGGGCUUAACCCCGGAACUGCUUUGGAAACUGUGCCGCUAGAGUGCAGGAGAGGUAAGUGGAAUUACUAGUGGAGCGGUGAAAUGCGGAGAUAUUAGGAGGAAAACCAGGGGCGAAGGCGGCUUACUGGAAUGUAACUGACGUUGAGGCGCGAAAGCGUGGGGAGCAAACAGGAUUAGAUACCCUGGUAGUC